rnacentral:piRNA from 1 species
UUGCUGUUUUCAAAGGUUUUCCUUGCC